rnacentral:rRNA from 1 species
CGGUAAGGAGGUGCAGGAACAAGGGGUGGGCAAGACGGCUGCCAGCCGCCGCGGUAAUACCCGCAGCCCCGAGUGAUGACCGACUAUUAUUGGGCCUAAAGCGUCCGUAGCUGGCUCGUGCAAGUCUGUCUGUGAAAUCCACGCGCUCAACGAGUGGACGUGCAGCGGAUACUGCACGAGCUAGGGACCGGACGGCUCGAAGGCUAUGUCCCGGGGUAGGAGUGAAAUCCCUGUAAUCCCGGGAGGAGCACCAGUGGCGAAAGCACUCGAGAGUACGGAUCCGACAGUGAGGAACGAAAGCCAGGGUAUCAAACCGGAUUAGAUACCCGCGUAGUCCUGGCCGUAAACAAUGCCUGCUAGAUGUGGCACAACCUACGAGCUGCCCGGUGCCGAAGGAAGCCGAGAAGCG